UACGAAGGGGGCUAGCGUUGCUCGGAAUCACUGGGCGUAAAAGCGCACGUAGGCGGCUUCUUAAGUCAGGGGUGAAAGCCUGGAGCUCAACUCCAGAACUGCCUUUGAUACUGAGGAGCUUGAGUCCGGGAGAGGUGAGUGGAACUGCGAGUGUAGAGGUGAAAUUCGUAGAUAUUCGGAGGAACACCAGUGGCGAAGGCGGCUCACUGGUCCAUUACUGACGCUGAGGUGCGAAAGCGUGGGAG
rnacentral:rRNA from 1 species